rnacentral:rRNA from 1 species
GUGGGGAAUUUUGGACAAUGGGCGCAAGCCUGAUCCAGCAAUGCCGCGUGCAGGAAGAAGGCCUUCGGGUUGUAAACUGCUUUUGUACGGAACGAAACGGCUCUGGUUAAUACCCGGGGCUAAUGACGGUACCGUAAGAAUAAGCACCGGCUAACUACGUGCCAGCAGCCGCGGUAAUACGUAGGGUGCAAGCGUUAAUCGGAAUUACUGGGCGUAAAGCGUGCGCAGGCGGUUUUGUAAGACAGGCGUGCAAUCCCCGGGCUCAACCUGGGAAUGGCGCUUGUGACUGCAAAGCGGGAGUGCUGCAGAGGGGGAUGGAAUUCCGCGUGUAGCAGUGAGAUGCGUAGAUAUGCGGAGGAACACCGAUGGCGAAGGCAAUCCCCUGGGCCUGCACUGACGCUCAUGCACGAAAGCGUGGGGAGCAAACAGGAUUAGAAACCCCGGUAGUCC